CCUUUGGUGUCGGCUCUUCCUAUCAUUAUGAAGCAGUAUUCACCAAGCGUUGAAUUGUUCACCCACUAAUAGGGAACGUGACCUGGGUUUAGACCGUCGUGAGACAGGUU
rnacentral:ncRNA from 1 species